UUGAUUUAUAUAUAAAGUCUGACCUGCCCACUGAAAAUUUUAAAUGGCUGCAGUAAUUUGACUGUACAAAGGUAGCAUAAUCAUUAGUUUUUUAAUUAAAAGCUUGUAUGAAAGGUUGGACGAAGUAAAAUCUGUCUCUUUUUAAUAUAAUUAGAAUUUAAUUUUUAAGUAAAAAAGCUUAAAUUUUUAUAAAAGACGAGAAGACCCUAUAGAGUUUAAUAAUUUUAAUAAAAUAUUUAAUUAAGAUUUAUUAAUUUUAUUUAAUUAAAAUUAUUUUAUUGGGGUAAUAAAAAGAUUAAAAAAAUUCUUUUUUUUUAAUACAUUAAUUUAUGAAUAUAUGAUCCAUUUGUAAUGAUUAAAAGAUUAAAUUACCUUAGGGAUAACAGCGUAAUUUUUUUAAAGAGUUCUUAUCGAUAAAAAAGUUUGCGACCUCGAUGUUGGAUUAAAGAUUAAUUUAGGUGUAGAAGUUUAAAUUUUUGGUCUGUUCGACCAUUAAAUCUUUACAUGAUCUGAGUUCAAACCGGUGUAAGCCAGGUUGGUUUCUAUCUUUAUUAAUUUUUUAUAUUUUAGUACGAAAGGACCAAAUAUAAAAUAUAUAAAUAUUUUUAUUUUGAAUAUUAUU
rnacentral:rRNA from 1 species